UACGUAGGGUGCAAGCGUUAAUCGGAAUUACUGGGCGUAAAGCGUGCGCAGGCGGCCUUGCAAGUCAGAUGUGAAAUCCCCGGGCUUAACCUGGGAAUGGCGAUGGUGACUGCAAGGCUAGAGUUUGGCAGAGGGGGGUAGAAUUCCACGUGUAGCAGUGAAAUGCGUAGAGAUGUGGAGGAACACCGAUGGCGAAGGCAGCCCCCUGGGUCAAAACUGACGCUCAUGCACGAAAGCGUGGGGAGCAAACAGG
rnacentral:rRNA from 1 species